rnacentral:rRNA from 1 species
AUGAACGCUGGCGGCGUGCCUCAUACAUGCAAGUCGAGCGAGCAGACGAGGAGCUUGCUCCUCUGACGUUAGCGGCGGACGGGUGAGUAACACGUGGAUAACCUACCUAUAAGACUGGGAUAACUUCGGGAAACCGGAGCUAAUACCGGAUAAUAUAUUGAACCGCAUGGUUCAAUAGUGAAAGACGGUUUUGCUGUCACUUAUAGAUGGAUCCGCGCCGCAUUAGCUAGUUGGUAAGGUAACGGCUUACCAAGGCGACGAUGCGUAGCCGACCUGAGAGGGUGAUCGGCCACACUGGAACUGAGACACGGUCCAGACUCCUACGGGAGGCAGCAGUAGGGAAUCUUCCGCAAUGGGCGAAAGCCUGACGGAGCAACGCCGCGUGAGUGAUGAAGGUCUUCGGAUCGUAAAACUCUGUUAUUAGGGAAGAACAAAUGUGUAAGUAACUAUGCACGUCUUGACGGUACCUAAUCAGAAAGCCACGGCUAACUACGUG